UCUCUUCCUCUUCUCGUUGCUGUGUUUCCGUGGCUUGAAAAGGGGAUCAAAUCAGGAGUUUAUUUUCAAGAUUAAAGGAACUUACUUGUAAAGCCACGAGGUAUGAAUGUUGAGGCUGUGGAGCUAGGCAC